rnacentral:rRNA from 1 species
CUGAAACUGCAGCCGUACGUGCAACGCUCCAUGGUCUCUCGCCCGUGCACCAAGCUCGCCCUCAAGUUCUUCGGGCCUUACACUAUGCUGGAGAAGAUUGGACCAUUGGCGUACAAGAUGGAUUUGCCGCCAGACAGCCGCGUGCACCCUGUCUUCCAUGUAUCCCAACUCAAGCUGUUCACGCUAGACUACUCACCGGUGUUCGCCGAUCUUCCCCGCGUCCAAGACCUGUCUGCCACGGUUACCGAGCCCUUCAAGAUUCUGGAGAGGCGCAUGAUGAAGCAUGGAGACGCGCCCGUGGUUCAGCUCAAGAUCCAGUGGUCGCCCACCAAAGUGGCCUACGCUACCUGGGAGGAUUAUGACGUUCUUCGCCGACGGUUUCUGACGGCGGCCAUUUGGGAGGAGGAGGCUUCGUAUUAA